AUGGCCAGCACCUAUCAACGAAAAACACCUCGUUCUCCACUAAUAAAAACAACCUGGAAGGAUAAAGAGUCUCGUAAAGACCCAGUUACACAAGCACAGAAAAUGGAUCCUGCAGCGUCCUGUGUCCCAAAUAGUGGAAACACAGCUGACCUGCAUGUGGCAAAGCAUGAGACCCCCUUAGAGGCGUCUAUACCAGAACCUUUGUGGAAAGUGGUUUCCUCUCCCCACAUGGACUUGGGUAAAAAAAUGGAAACAUGGGAAGACCUACAAAGUACAGAGAAUUCAUAUCUUCCACUUUCAAAUGGAGGGGGUUUAGCAACCAGUACAUCAGAAAGGCAGAGGUGCUUUCGAAAGGGAAAUACACAAGAACAAAAAGAUUUUCUGGAACUUGUUCUGGAGUCUUCAGAUGUCAGCUUGCUCGUUUCACCAGGAACCAAAAAGCAUAAAAGCAGUGAACAAUCAGCAGGUAUAAAAAUUCAAGAGAGUACAGAAGAUGUAAGUGAGAAGGAAAAGAAACCCUUAAUGCUUAGUGUUACAGGAUGUGUUGACCGACGCGAAGGUGAGGAACUGGAACGUGACACCAGAAGUAAUAUAAAAAAGAUGCAAGAUAAAAGAAUACCUAAUGCAUUCCACGACGCCACCCACACUGCCAUUUCUGAACCACCUCCUGUGGACGUGCACAGCAGAUUCAAAACCAAGGCAGAUUCAUCAGAAAUAGGGCUCAGCCAUUCAGUGGUAAAGCAAGAUGAGUUACGAGAUGACAAGAUGAUACAGAGUGUGGAAUACGUUGAAAAGGGAUAUAUGUUUGAAAAGCCACAAGAACAUGACAAAGAGGAAGAACAACAGGCUUUGCAAGAAGCAGUUCCACAGCUGGCACACGGUUUCAGGUCCACCCUACAACCAACGCAGAAGCCCAAGUAUGUCAACUUUGAAAUAGGUCAGAGCAGUUCAGAAAGCAGAAGAAGUCAUAAUCAAGAGCUAGAAGUACAACCACAAACUCUUUCUACAGAAACAAUUGUGGGGACUCGUCCAUCCUACACAGUGGCUCCAUGUCAGGUGGAGAAGCUGCAGCCACGUGCAGACAGACCUACCGAGGGGGAGACUGCAGAGCCCGCGCAUCCUCUUCCAGUGUCAGCAAGCUUACCAGUUUUAACUGAAACAGCAGAACGUGGCGUCCCAUUUGGCAGAAGCCCCAGAAAGACCCUAGAUGAACAGAUUGCAGAAGAAAAGGAAGCCUUAAAGAGAGUUUUACCUGAAGUCGCCUUGGAGUCUUUCCAUAGGCAUAUGCUUCCUUUAUCAGGUUUUAAAAGGAAGAGAAUCAGAAACAAAUUAUCAGGAACAAUAAGUUUGCUUGGUCCCGAAAGUGUAAUUAUGAAAGUAAAGAAGCCACCAAUACUUCGCAGAAGAAGACUGAAAGGCAGUUUUAAAAUCCUGAUGAAACAACGACUGCAAGAUCAAAUUGUGGCAGAGAGGCUUGUGAACGUUAUUGAGCCUCGUCUGUCUGUUUUGCCUCAUGUCAGAACGCAGAGCAGAUUAAAUGCAGAUGACCAUGGUCUUAGCAAGCUGAAACAAGAGAAAGCAGAAGUUAAAAGAGAAGAGUGUUCAGAUACCAUUAAUAAGGGAAGUGACUCUGGAAACGCACCCAAAGCAGCUAAAUUGCAACAUGAAAUGGAAGGAGACAAAAAAGCUUCACCAGACGCCUUCCUUCAGGAUAGCUGGAACCUCAGAUUAGAUGCAUAUCCAGAGAAAGAGCUUAAAACAAAGAAAGAAAUGCAGCAACCAAGCACAGUUGCAGAAGUCAUGGUGGAGCCUAUUCACUAUACUAUAGUGGAUCCAUUUCACACUGCGAAUGUGAAGACAAGCCUGACAACACAAACAGGUACAAGAUGCACUACAGAUUCUGAGAUGCCUCCUUCGGCAUCAGAAAAAUCACUGACUAGAGACCCUUUAAACCAAACGAGAGGACGUGAUGUUCCAGAUUAUGGAAGUGAUACAAGGAAAUGGGUUACUGUUUUCCAGAAACAAAGGCAGAAUUAG
rnacentral:lncRNA from 1 species